UCGGUCUUAACCAAGAUUGAACAACUAUUCGUAUCCUCUGCAAAUCAAAGAUCUCGUGCACUAAAUUGCUCAAUUCCUCAGAUUCACCCUAUGUCCUCGAAUAGUCACAGAUCCAUUCCUCUUCAUAUCUAUCUUUUCUGGAUCCUACCCGCAAAAAAAAAAUCUUUUCUGAAUCCAAUUAGUUUGCUUCUUUUUUCUAUGCACGGCAGCUAGUUAUUUCAGUAUUUGUAGAUUAAUUGAGUUGUUUAUCAUGUAAUUUCGGGUUUGCAAUUUUGUUCAGGCUGUAGAAUUUGGCGAAAUUUUUUGUGCCACAUGGGUUACGUUGGAAAGGAAAUUCUGAUCCCAUGUAUAUGUGCCUUUGUUGCUGCUGGCUGCUUAUAAUUAAAUCGGCUGCCACUCGGUGCUUUGUCUUCCACUAUGAUUUUUUACUUGACACAUGAUACGUCAUGGCCUGAAGGAUCGAUCCUCUGCCACCCACUCUAACCAACAAGCUUCAGGCGAGAAGCAGAUGGCAAACAAUCAGCAUGAAUCCCCCGACCUCUGCUUACUCUGAAUCAAGCACAGUCUCUGAAGCGCCCUCUGA